GCACUGCUUCUCGAUUAGGUCGUUGACCA
rnacentral:sRNA from 1 species